rnacentral:rRNA from 1 species
CCUACGGGAGGCAGCAGUGAGGAAUAUUGGUCAAUGGACGAGAGUCUGAACCAGCCAAGUAGCGUGAACGAUGACUGCCCUAUGGGUUGUAAACUUCUUUUAUAUGGGAGUAAAAUGUUCCACGUGUGGGAUUUUGUAUGUACAAUAUGAUUAAGGAUCGGCUAACUCCGUGCCAGCAGCCGCGGUUAUACGGAGGUUCCGAGCGUUAUCCGGGUUUAUUGGGUUUAAAGGGAGCGUAGGUGGAUUGUUAAGGCAGUGGUGAAAGUGUGCGGCUCAACCGGAAAAUUGCAGUUGAAACUGGCAGUCUUGAGUACAGUAGAGGUGAGCGGAAUUCGUGGUGUAGCGGUGAAAUGCGUAGAUAUCACGAAGAACUCCGAUUGCGAAGGCAGCUCACUGGACUGCAACUGACACUGAGGCUCGAAAGUGUGGGUAUCAAACAGGAUUAGAUACCCUUGUAGUC